GGAGGCUCGCGCUCUCGAUGGUCAUAUUCCGUUAGGCUGCAGAUGGAAUGUGUCCAGAUCUUGGCAAACCUCUCCAAAGGGGCAUGAAAACUUUUACAGAAAUGAGCUUGAUCAGAUGGAGGAUGAACAGGUCAAAUGGAUGCCCUACGAGCUAGUGUUGGAGUCACUACCAGGU